ACUUAAGAAAAUAAGUGCAAGCGGUUGAUGCCUUGGCAUUCAGAGGCGAAGAAGGACGUGAUAAUCUGCGAUAAGCUUCGGUUAGCUGGUAAAUGAGCUAUGAGCCGGAGAUUUCCGAAUGGGGGAACCCACCUGAC
rnacentral:rRNA from 1 species